UUUAGGAUGUUCCAGAUGGAUCAAGUACUGGGUUGCAGCCAGCACCAUCACUCAGUACAUGGCAAAGCCAAACACAGCAUGUUCCAGAUGGAUCAAGUACUGGGUUGCAGCCAGCACCAUCACUCUGUACAGGGCAAAGCCAAACACAGGACACAACAGAACACUACCUCAGAGCAUCUCAACCAGUCCCAAGAUCCUGCAGUAAUGGACUAGGCCAACAGGAUUCUGAGGGGGAUGACCUUAUAUACCCAGGAGCACCUA